GAUGAACGCUGGCGGCGUGCCUAAUACAUGCCAGUAGAACGCUGAAGGAGGAGCUUGCUCUUCUGGAUGAGUUGCGAACGGGUGAGUAACGCGUAGGUAACCUGCCUGGUAGCGGGGGAUAACUAUUGGAAACGAUAGCUAAUACCGCAUGACAACAGUUAUUGCAUGAUAACUGUUUAAAAGGGGCAACUGCUCCACUACCAGAUGACCUGCGUUGUAUUAGCUAGUUGGUGAGGUAACGGCUCACCAAGGCGACGAUACAUAGCCGACCUGAGAGGGUGAUCGGCCACACUGGGACUGAGACACGGCCCAGACUCCUACGGGAGGCAGCAGUAGGGAAUCUUCGGCAAUGGACGGAAGUCUGACCGAGCAACGCCGCGUGAGUGAAGAAGGUUUUCGGAUCGUAAAGCUCUGUUGUAAGAGAAGAACGAGUGUGAGAGUGGAAAGUUCACACUGUGACGGUAUCUUACCAGAAAGGGACGGCUAACUACGUG
rnacentral:rRNA from 1 species